rnacentral:rRNA from 1 species
UACGGAGGGGGCUAGCGUUGUUCGGAAUUACUGGGCGUAAAGCGCGCGUAGGCGGAUCUGCAAGUCGGGGGUGAAAUCCCGAGGCUCAACCUCGGAACUGCCUUCGAUACUGCGGGUCUCGAGUCCGGGAGAGGUGAGUGGAAUUCCUAGUGUAGAGGUGAAAUUCGUAGAUAUUAGGAAGAACACCAGUGGCGAAGGCGGCUCACUGGCCCGGUACUGACGCUGA